UACGUAGGGUGCAAGCGUUAAUCGGAAUUACUGGGCGUAAAGCGUGCGCAGGCGGCUUCGCAAGUCAGACGUGAAAGCCCCGGGCUUAACCUGGGAAUGGCGUUUGAAACUACGGAGCUGGAGUAUGGCAGAGGGGGGUGGAAUUCCACGUGUAGCGGUGAAAUGCGUAGAUAUGUGGAGGAACACCGAUGGCGAAGGCAGCCCCCUGGGCCAAUACUGACGCUCAUGCACGAAAGCGUGGGGAGCAAACAGG
rnacentral:rRNA from 1 species